rnacentral:rRNA from 1 species
UGGGGAAUCUUGGACAAUGGGCGCAAGCCUGAUCCAGCCAUGCCGCGUGGAUGAUGAAGUAUUUCGGUAUGUAAACUUCGAAAGAAUAGGAAGAAUAAAUGACGGUACUAUUUAUAAGGUCCGGCUAACUACGUGCCAGCAGCCGCGGUAAUACGUAGGGACCAAGCGUUGUUCGGAUUUACUGGGCGUAAAGGGCGCGUAGGCGGCAUGACAAGUCACUUGUGAAAUCUCUGGGCUUAACCCAGAACGGCCAAGUGAUACUGUCGCGCUAGAGUGCAGAAGGGGCAAUCGGAAUUCUUGGUGUAGCGGUGAAAUGCGUAGAUAUCAAGAGGAACACCUGAGGUGAAGACGGGUUGCUGGGCUGACACUGACGCUGAGGCGCGAAAGCCAGGGGAGCAAACGGGAUUAGAUACCCUCGUAGUCCCUGAGCGGGCUGGCAAGGCGCAU